rnacentral:rRNA from 1 species
ACCCGCUGAACUUAAGCAUAUCAAUAAGCGGAGGAAAAGAAACCAACAGGGAUUGCCUUAGUAACGGCGAGUGAAGCGGCAAAAGCUCAAAUUUGAAAUCUGGCACCUUUGGUGUCCGAGUUGUAAUUUGAAGAAGGUAACUUUGAGUUUGGUCCUUGCAUAUGUUCCUUGGAACAGGACGUCAUAGAGGGUGAGAAUCCCGUUCUGUGAGGUGGCCAUUCUCUUGUAAAGUGCUUUCGAAGAGUCGAGUUGUUUGGGAAUGCAGCUCUAAGUGGGUGGUAAAUUCCAUCUAAAGCUAAAUAUUGGCGAGAGACCGAUAGCGAACAAGUACAGUGAUGGAAAGAUGAAAAGAACUUUGAAAAGAGAGUGAAAAAGUACGUGAAAUUGUUGAAAGGGAAGGGCUUGAAAUCAGACUUGGUAUUCAGUGAUCAACUAUCUUUCGGGAUUGUGCACUCGCUGUUUACUGGGCCAGUAUCGGUUUUGGCGGUGAGAUAAUGGCAUUGGAAUGUGGCUCUUCG